CCCCACUAGGUAUACGAAGCUUGGCUAUGCAGGAAAUACAGAACCUCAGUUCAUUAUCCCGUCAUGUAUUGCAAUCCGAGAGUCAGCCAAAGUGGGGGACCAGGCUCAGAGGAGGGUGAUGAAAGGUGUUGAUGAUCUGGACUUUUUCAUAGGAGAUGAAGCCAUAGAUAAACCUACCUAUGCUACAAAGUGGCCUAUCCGACAUGGAAUUGUUGAGGACUGGGACCUCAUGGAGAGGUUCAUGGAGCAGGUUAUUUUUAAGUACCUUCGAGCUGAGCCCGAGGAUCACUAUUUU